GAAGCCUAUCUAUCUGCGUAUGUCCCUAGACGUCUCGAACGUCCCCUGUUUUCCUCUCGUUUCGUGCUAUAGGAUGGUCCGAUUGCUUCGUCAGUCCCUAGUCCAGUCCGGAUAGCUGUUUUGCUCCAUAACUAUAUCCACUCGAAGGCUCGAAAAAGCUCCAGCGCUGAGGCACAGUCUGCUGACGAAGGGGCAGUCGCCUGUAGUGAUCGAUGGAUCGCUCCUGACCCUUUAACAAGUCUUGAGCUCUCUUUUUUUUUUUCUGACAGCAAGUCUUGAACUCUCUUAAAUUGCCCACAUCCCGAGUAGACAGCCACAUCACAUGGUUAGGCACGAUAAUUAUACUCCAUAUCAUAUCUCCAACAGAGUCGAUUGUUCCAUCGCCACCCACUCCCAUGACUCCUUUCCCUCUCAAGUUAAAAGGAACCUCCUCUUAAUUUCAUUCAGGAUCGGUUCUCCUUUUCCGUGUCGGGAACUCGGCGCGGUGCGUGCCA
rnacentral:lncRNA from 1 species